rnacentral:lncRNA from 1 species
CCUAAGUGAAAGCCAGUUUACCCAAAUUAUUAAAGGUUCAACUAAUCACAGUGAAUCUAGGAGUCCGCCCAUGACCGUGGGCACGACUAUUCGAAUCGAUCAUACUCUGAUCAAAGGUGUACUACUGUACCCACAAGACACAACUCCACUGCACUUGAACAUGCACCGACGUGCCACCAUGGCACACCGCAAAGGAGGCUAUUAUAGGACCCGUCACAUAACCCUCCCUAUUUAAUCGCACCACACUUCAGAUUUCACCCCUCCUUUACACCAAGUC